rnacentral:misc_RNA from 1 species
GGUUAUUCUACUACUUUUCAAGCAAAGUGUGAUCGAAACAACAAUCUUAUCAUGUAUUAUGUCCUCAAGCUCCUUUCUGAAUAAGAAGCUACAAUCAGAAAUGACCUAGCUCUAAGAACUUUAGAGCAAUUUAUGCAAUUUUUUACCUAUAAAUCUACCAAAUCUAAACAAGUAGUAAGAAAAAAGGCCUAAAGGGUCUAACUGGAAUUCCUAGUUUGCAUUCCACCAAAUGAGAUUUCUGAUGCCACAAUCCAGUAAUCAACCCUCCUUUU